CAGCCGCCGCGGUAAUACGUAGGGAGCGAGCGUUAUCCGGAUUCAUUGGGCGUAAAGCGCGCGUAGGCGGCUCGCCAAGCGGGGUCUCAAACCCGGGGGCUCAACCUCCGGCCCGACCCCGAACCGGCGGGCUCGAGUUCGGUAGAGGAAGACGGAAUUCCCGGUGUAGCGGUGAAAUGCGCAGAUAUCGGGAAGAACACCGAUGGCGAAGGCAGUCUUCUGGGCCGCAACUGACGCUGAGGUGCGAAAGCUAGGGGAGCGAACAGGAUUAGAUACCCUGGUAGUCCUAGCCGUAAACGAUGGGCACUAGGUGUGGGGGAGCCCUUCCCCCGUGCCGCAGCUAACGCAUUAAGUGCCCCGCCUGGGGAGUACGGCCGCAAGGCUAAAACUCAAAGGAAUUGACGGGGGCCCGCACAAGCAGCGGAGCAUGUGGCUUAAUUCGAAGCAACGCGAAGAACCUUACCAGGGCUUGACAUCCGGGUGAAGCGGCGGAGACGCCGUGGCCGAGAGGAGCCCGGACAGGUGGUGCAUGGCC
rnacentral:rRNA from 1 species